rnacentral:lncRNA from 1 species
CCCGAACACUGACACUGAGCUCGACCAAUCCAAACCUUAACCCUAACCCUAAUUCUUCAAACCCGUUAGUCCCCGCCUGCUCCAAUGGCCCUGCUGUCUGCCUUCUCAAGGUUGCCGGAGACUCCACUGGCAGGGCAUUCAUGGGCUCCAUUUUUAGCUACUCUCUCUCUCUCUCUCUCUCUCUCUAGAUAUAUAUAUAUAUAUGUAUGUAUACAUGCUUAUGGAGUGCUAUGCUUUAAUUGCUUAAUUGUGGUGUUUCUAUAUGGGAAUUUGAGUGGUGCUGAUAUAGAAUUUUGAGUGUUUGACAAAAUAUGAUUUUCGUUUAUAGUGUUUUGUAUUUUUCAGUUUGUAUCAUGUGGGUUUCUGUUAAAUAUUGAUAUAGUGAUUCUUAAUAUGCUUUCGGAUAUGUUUUGUACUGAAAUUCUUUAUAUGAAAUGUAUGAAUUUUGAAUUCAAAAUUGUUGCAUUUGCCUUAUCAAAACCUGAUAUGGAUGCAAAUAGGUGUUAUUGUGAUUGAUUUUGUUAUAUAUGUUUGUGAGUAUUGUUUGUUGUGGGUUCCAAAAUUUAAAAAAGUGCUAUGAUUUUGUUAUAU